rnacentral:rRNA from 1 species
UACGUAGGGUGCGGGCGUUAAUCGGAAUUACUGGGCGUAAAGCGCACGCAGGCGGUUUGUUAAGUCAGAUGUGAAAUCCCCGCGCUUAACGUGGGAACUGCAUUUGAAACUGGCAAGCUAGAGUCUUGUAGAGGGGGGUAGAAUUCCAGGUGUAGCGGUGAAAUGCGUAGAGAUCUGGAGGAAUACCGGUGGCGAAGGCGGCCCCCUGGACAAAGACUGACGCUCAGGUGCGAAAGCGUGGGGAGCAAACAGG